rnacentral:lncRNA from 1 species
AUGCUCAGCCAACUGAGCCCCCCAGGCGCCCCUCACAUUACCUUUGCACUGAAUGGACAUGCUGCCUCUGUUAUAAUACCCACAGCCAGAGCUCAUCCUUCUUCUGACCUGUUCGUCUGUCCUGAGGCUCAUCACUUUCUAUCGAAUCUGAGGGCGACGUCCACUGCAGUCCAUCAUGGGCUGUUUGGAAGCAGUACCUUCCGUCCUUGUGUCUUGACUGGCCUCACAAAGGCAGGAAGCUCCACGGGGCCCCGGAGAAGCUUUUCCCCAAGAAAGUGCUCCCAGAGCACAAACCACAGGGAAGGAACUGCUGUGUGUGUUGGGGGGACAUCUGUGGAGCCCUGGGUCCCCUGGGCCACCAUGAUUCCCUGCACCGAAGCUGCUCGAGCCAGCCGCCUGCACCCCUGCACACCCGAGAGCAGUGGAGUGCGUGUCCAGGUUGUGGUCCAAGCCCUUCCCAGGGGCACAGCGGCGCCCCGAGGCUCGUCCUGUUUCUCUGGGAGCUGUUCUCACUGGCUCGUUUUGUGCAGAGUCGGGGAAAUGCAGGUGAUUUCUGACGGAGCCCUGGGCUUGGUUCUCCGGCUGGUGGCUUCUUGUGGGGACGCUGGGGGUCCCAAGUCUCUCACGGGGCCAACGCCCCAUGGAAUCCUGCUCCACCAAGAUAGUCUUGUGGGUGGAGGGGGCGGGGGAAAGUGCACCAGGGAGCGGCAGGUGUGCGGGGGCACCUUCUGAGGGAGCUGUUCUUUGUCGCCUGCACAGGUGGGGGGUCCAGCCACAGGUGGAGCCGUGGUGGAGCCGCGGCCAAGCCACCAAGGUGCCUGGAGAGUGGAGCCCAGCACGCGGAGGCCCUCGGUGUCCCGUGCCCCAGACCUGUGGGCUGGCUCCUGCUUGGCAAGUGCCACGGACUCCGGGCAUGGGCCAGGGUCUGGGUUUGCACAUGAGGGUGACCUCGUGACCUUUGCUCACGGUGACUGCGUGUCCUUGACAGGUGCCGAGGACCUGAGCUCGGAGACGUGUUGAGCUCCUUCAGUGGGGGUACCGAGGGGCUCGUGAAACCACCAGCUGCUUCUUCAUUUUGGCCUAAAACUGUGUGCGAGCCCAGAGGCUUUCCAGCAAAGCGGGAGUUGUCUUAUACAUCGAAUAACAGACUCGGACCCAGGGGUCCCCGCAAGCCCGGCUUAGGGCGCAGCCUCGCUGUGGACUUGUUCGCUGAAUGUCUGACCGCCCUGCACAGAGCAGAGGCAGCACACAGAGCCUUCUGCGUUCUUGGCCCUGCCCCUGGGCAGCCGACGUGCCACUUAUGGGACAAUGUGCAUGCCUGGGCCACCAUAUAAAGUGGCACCAGGGGCUUAGAAGUCCUCAGGUUUCUUAGGGUUGUUGUAAAUGACGAUCAUCUGCUUCCUUCUUCUCCAAGAAUAUGAAAAGAUUGUUUUAAAUCGACAAGGGACCGAGUCCGCCGUCUUCGUCAUGAACCAGCCACAGCAUUAUUGGGUUACGGCCUCAGCUCACGUUCGAGCUGGGGAAGUGAGGCCCUCGGUGCUGCAAAGGAGCCCCCGUCCGGGAGUGCGGGGUAGAGAGGAAGUGACUGAAAACCCGGGGCGUCCUGAGAAGAGGCAUCGUGGGUCAGCAGCACCUGCAGGCAUUAGCCGCUGUUCAGCCGGCUUGUCUGUGCGAGGCUUCGAAUCUAGGCGUUGAGAGACGUGGGCUGAGCGUUCACUCUGCCCGGUCAGCGGCCGCACUUUCAGCGGGACGGGGGAGCGAACACCCAGCCACGGGGUCCCCACGCGGCACGCGGGAGCACAGAGAGGAGGAGGUGGUCUGGACUGUCCCCGGCAGGCGCGUUCCGGUUGGAAGGAGGACCUGCCGGCAAGUGUCCGCAGGACAGCGGGAGGCGGCUCAGUCGGAGAGAGGAGGGAGCCGGGUGUGGAGUCCGUUUCGGCCCGUGUUGAGUGACAUCUCCCGGGCGUGGAGUCAAGGGUGGGGCACACCCUCUCUCCUGCGUUGUUAGUCAGCGGCACGGUGAGCACCGCCGAAGAGAGGACGGGAGUGACCAAGGAGAUGAGGCCCCACUGGGGCGUCACCACGGCGCCGGUGGCCCUCCGGCCAGGCCCGCAGAGAAGGACGCCUGCCCGGAGCGCAGGGCACGUCCCGUCCGGCUCACAGGGAGCCCGGGGCAGACAGAGGCCCGCCCGCCCUCGGGGCCAGCUCCGUGCCGGCCUUCUCCGGUGGCGCUGCGGCUGUCCUCGGGGUCCCCCGUGAGGAUGGGCCCCUGCUGGGGUCCCCCUUUAGAAGGACGGCCCCGAAGGGCGCUGACAGCGCGUGCCCACGACCGAUGGAAGAAGCGCUGGAAGAAACAACUCAAGUCGGGACGAUUCUUCCUUCCUGACACCAGGAAGCAGCAGCAGGAAACCAACCGCGUCAUCAGAUUUCAUCACAAUCUCUCAUUCCGCGUGAGAGAGCGUGACCCGGAGGGGCGCCUGGGCUUCCUGGGCUUCUGCCUAGUGUGGGGGGGCGUCUGCCGGACAGGACGGCAGCUGACUCCGUGUCCUCCUGACUCCUGCUUCCGUGGCCCUCCCCCACGCCCGGCCCGCCCGUGUCCCUGCCACGGGGCUCCUUGAGCGCAGCCCGGCCCACGAGGGGGCGAGGGAGCGGCUGCCUCACACCGUGCAGCAUGGGCCGGGCUGCGGGCUCAGGGGUCCGCAUGGGGCACUGGCUCCUGCGCCCCGAGAGGCCGUGUUCCUGCCCAGCUUUGCUCGGGCAGACUCAUCCUGUGGGAGGGCAGCAGCCCCGGGGGUGUGUGUGGGGGGGUGGGGCGUGUGGGGCCAUGGGGGCAAACCCCCUGAGGACGAGUCUCGGUGCACAUGCUGUCCUCUGGGCGGACGACAAAGGUCGAAGUUGAGGGUCUCCUGUAGGUCUUCCGACGACUAGAGCGACAGCACGUUUCCACCUGGGCGUGGCCGCCGGAAGUUCCUACCGUGGUCACAUGUCACAAAACAGCGUUUUUCUUGGGUUGUUCCUCAUCGUCUCUACGAGGCUAGAAGCCGUUCAGAGCUCAGAGGCCUGCAGAGCAGCUGGUAAGCUACGGGGGCCCACGGGCCACGGUCUGCUGGCCGUGGCCGGAUAGGCAGGUGCAGGGGAGUGUGUGCAGGGCGAGCGUGCAUGGGGCUGGGGGCUUCGGGCCCCUGCAGGCUGCCGUGGACUUCCACGCGGAGCUCGGUGGCGCGCUCAGCCAGUGGCUGCCCACGGUCCAGCACGGCCUUCCGUACUCCUUGUCUGUAAACAAAUCAUCUUUAUAAGCAAAUCACUUUUUUUUCUGGGUUGCAAACUGUCGUAAAAAACACUAAUAGCACUGAAUCAAAAUGGGGCAGUCCUCUGGACUGUGAAGAGCUCUGGGGGGAGAAAUGGUGUUUGAUCCGGCUUCGUCCCCCGCGCUGGGCCCACGUGCUUCCGGCAACAAAGAAACGCUUGGUGAACGUAGGAGUCUGUCCUUGUCACCGGAGGGCACAGUGUUUUCACGUCCGUUACCUGUGACAGUCUCUGGUUUUAACGAUUGUGUCAUUUGAAGCUUCCCAGAGCCCUGCAAAGCCUGGGGGCCUCGUCCUCACUUUACGGAGCAGAAACCAGCGCAAAGGCAUUGGCGAAUGGUUUCCGUGUCGUGCUCACUCCGGUCGGGACUCCCCUGGGCUGGGGUCCUCAGAGGGGCUGGGCAGGCAGCCCCGGCCAGGCUGCUUUCCAAACCAGCUGAGAGACUCUGACCUCAGGACCGUUGGGGCCCAGAACAGCAGCUGGCCGCCCGUCCCAGAGGGCUUUCUGUGCUUUUUUCCAGCAUUUUCCUAAUGCAAGACUGAGACGUUCUGGAGGUAAACUGUCUGUUUUGCUUGAUUUACAAUGUUGGGCUUAAGUAAAAGGCCCGAGUCAGAGCGAAGGACUGACCAGGAAGGUCACACAAGGGUGACCCUAGGGGCUGUGCCCCCUGAGCCCGGGGCCCUCUCUUCUCUGGAACGGCCUCCGGCUGCUCCCCGGGGAGCUCACGCCGGGGUCCUGCGGCGGCCGCUCUGAUCUCAGACCCGGGGCAAGGCCUGCGGAUGGGCUCGCUCUGGAACCCACGUGGUCGCGGUAACC